AUGGAAACACCGGUUCCCCUACAAUCACCGAAGUUAAGCAACGUCAAGCCUGGUCAGUAACUAGAUGGGUGAUGACUUGAGAAUAUCAGGUGCUGUAA